rnacentral:tmRNA from 1 species
GGGGUCGACUGGUAUUGACAGCGAGUUGCAUUUAAGAGUAAGCAAGUCGAGCGCUGAAUUAUAGCUCGUAAAUCUCAUAUUUCACAAUUUUAAAUGGCGAGAAUAACUACGCUCUAGCUGCAUAAUAACUGAAUUAUAGUAAGUUAAUGCCAAGUUCCAGCAAGGCUGGGAAGCAAGAUGUCUCUAAAUAGCCCUUGUUGACGGCGAUUUGUAAUGAGGCACCAUAAAAGUCAACAUCGAAAUANUGUUGCAUCAACAGUAUUUUUCAAAUAUGAUGCUAAGGUCUGUAUAGGCAGUUUUCGGUCAGUUCAGAUUCAAAAAUUAAGCGAAAUCUAAACUUGUAGAAAGCUUUUUUAUCACUUGUUUGGACGCGGGUUCGAAUCCCGCCGACUCCACUU